rfam:Danio rerio chromosome 7, GRCz11 reference primary assembly.
GACCUUGUGGCGCAACGGUAGCGCGUCUGACUCCAGAUCAGAAGGAUGCGUGUUCAAAUCACGUCAGGGUCA